GUCGAGCGGUAGCACAGGGAGCUUGCUCCUGGGUGACGAGCGGCGGACGGGUGAGUAAUGUCUGGGAAACUGCCUGAUGGAGGGGGAUAACUACUGGAAACGGUAGCUAAUACCGCAUAACGUCUACGGACCAAAGUGGGGGACCUUCGGGCCUCAUGCCAUCAGAUGUGCCCAGAUGGGAUUAGCUAGUAGGUGGGGUAAUGGCUCACCUAGGCGACGAUCCCUAGCUGGUCUGAGAGGAUGACCAGCCACACUGGAACUGAGACACGGUCCAGACUCCUACGGGAGGCAGCAGUGGGGAAUAUUGCACAAUGGGCGCAAGCCUGAUGCAGCCAUGCCGCGUGUGUGAAGAAGGCCUUCGGGUUGUAAAGCACUUUCAGCGAGGAGGAAGGGUNCNGUGUUAAUAGCACNNUNCAUUGACGUUACUCGCAGAAGAAGCACCGGCUAACUCCGUGCCAGCAGCCGCGGUAAUACGGAGGGUGCAAGCGUUAAUCGGAAUUACUGGGCGUAAAGCGCACGCAGGCGGUUUGUUAAGUCAGAUGUGAAAUCCCCGCGCUUAACGUGGGAACUGCAUUUGAAACUGGCAAGCUAGAGUCUUGUAGAGGGGGGUAGAAUUCCAGGUGUAGCGGUGAAAUGCGUAGAGAUCUGGAGGA
rnacentral:rRNA from 1 species